rnacentral:rRNA from 1 species
GACGAACGCUGGCGGCGUGCCUAAUACCUGCCAGUAGAACGAGUUGCGAACGGGUGAGUAAUGUCUGGGAAACUGCCCGAUGGAGGGGGAUAACUACUGGAAACGGUAGCUAAUACCGCAUACCAUCGGAUGUGCCCAGAUGGGAUUAGCUAGUAGGUGGGGUAACGGCUCACCUAGGCGACGUUCCCUAGCUGGUCUGAGAGGAUGCCCAGAAACACUGGAACUGAGACACGGUCCAGACUCCUACGGUAGGCAGCAGGGGUGAAUAUUGCACAAUGGGCGCAAGCCUGAUGCAGCCAUGCCGCGUGUAUGAUGAAGGCCUUCGGGUUGUAAAGUACUUUCAGCGAGGAGGCGUUACUCGCAGAAGAAGCACCGGCUAACUCCGUGCCAGCAGCCGCGGUAAUUC